AGAGUUUGAUCCUGGCUCAGGAUGAACGCUGGCGGCGUGCUUAACACAUGCAAGUCGAACGAACCUUCGGGUUAGUGGCGGACGGGUGAGUAACGCGUGAGAAUCUGCCCUCAGGAGGGGGAUAACGGCUGGAAACGGCCGCUAAUACCCCAUAUGCCGAGAGGUGAAACGAGUUUUCGCCUGAGGAUGAGCUCGCGUCUGAUUAGCUAGUUGGUGGGGUAAGAGCCUACCAAGGCAUCGAUCAGUAGCUGGUCUGAGAGGAUGAUCAGCCACACUGGGACUGAGACACGGCCCAGACUCCUACGGGAGGCAGCAGUGGGGAAUUUUCCGCAAUGGGCGAAAGCCUGACGGAGCAACGCCGCUGAGGGAUGAAGGCCUCUGGGCUGUAAACCUCUUUUAUCAAGGAAGAAGAUCUGACGGUACUUGAUGAAUAAGCCACGGCUAAUUCCGUGCCAGCAGCCGCGGUAAUACGGGAGUGGCAAGCGUUAUCCGGAAUUAUUGGGCGUAAAGCGUCCGCAGGCGGCCUGAUAAGUCUGUUGUCAAAGCGUGGAGCUCAACUCCAUUUCGGCAAUGGAAACUGUGAGGCUUGAGUGUGGUAGGGGCAGAGGGAAUUCCCGGUGUAGCGGUGAAAUGCGUAGAUAUCGGGAAGAACACCAGUGGCGAAGGCGCUCUGCUGGGCCAUAACUGACGCUCAUGGACGAAAGCCAGGGGAGCGAAAGGGAUUAGAUACCCCUGUAGUCCUGGCCGUAAACGAUGAACACUAGGUGUCGGGGGAGUCGACCCCCUCGGUGUCGUAGCCAACGCGUUAAGUGUUCCGCCUGGGGAGUACGCACGCAAGUGUGAAACUCAAAGGAAUUGACGGGGGCCCGCACAAGCGGUGGAGUAUGUGGUUUAAUUCGAUGCAACGCGAAGAACCUUACCAGGGUUUGACAUCCUGCGAAUCCCUUGGAAACGAGGGAGUGCCUUCGGGAGCGCAGAGACAGGUGGUGCAUGGCUGUCGUCAGCUCGUGUCGUGAGAUGUUGGGUUAAGUCCCGCAACGAGCGCAACCCACGUCUUUAGUUGCCAGCAUUGAGUUGGGCACUCUAGAGAGACCGCCGGUGAUAAACCGGAGGAAGGUGUGGAUGACGUCAAGUCAUCAUGCCCCUUACAUCCUGGGCUACACACGUACUACAACGCUACGGACAAAGGGCAGCAAACUCGCGAGAACUAGCAAAUCCCAUAAACCGUGGCUCAGUUCAGAUCGUAGGCUGCAACUCGCCUACGUGAAGGAGGAAUCGCUAGUAAUCGCAGGUCAGCAUACUGCGGUGAAUACGUUCCCGGGCCUUGUACACACCGCCCGUCACACCAUGGAAGUUGGCCACGCCCGAAGCCGUUACUCCAACCCUUGUGGAGGAGGACGUCGAAGGUGGGGCUGAUGACUGGGGUGAAGUCGUAACAAGGUA
rnacentral:rRNA from 1 species